UUUUCCGUCCUAAACACUUAGAGCCCGGAAUCUCUACAGCAAGCAAAAAUACUUAUUUACUUCAGUUCAAAACGUGGGGGUUAGUUUCUUGGUCGGUCCCCCGUCAAAUCGCUUGGAAACGCAUUGCCUUAAUAUGUGCAACAGCACGAAGACUUAAAAUCAAUCAUCCUUUUAUGCUGUGCUCUGGGAUAUUGGGGCUAGGUCUGGAGACUACAUCCCCCAGACCUUCCUCAUCAGGAUCACCUACUGGAGGCUAUAGUAACUAGAGAGAGACUGGAAGGCAAGGAAAGAAGAGACAAGACCUGCUUCCUAUUUGUAUGUAAAUCUUGUCAAAAGGCAGUUAGCCGGUAGGGCCAGGAGAGAGGCACUGAGCCAUGUUCCUGCCCAUCUGAGCCAUUUCCAAGCUUGGUGCAUUGGUGGGCAGAUUGCUGAGCUGGGGUCUGUUGCCUGGGAGUGGAGUAAUGUUCAAGAGGAAGGAUCACAUUAAACCACAAACCUUCAUUGAGCACCUACACCUUUCUGCAAAGGAGACGAAUGCAUGAACCAACAAUUUUAUUUCGGUCCUCUACCAGGAAGGUUGACAAGAUCUCUCUGCCUAAUUAAGAAGUUACGAAAGCACAGUAUUCUAAAAUGUUUGGGAUGCUCAUUAUGAGAGUAUUCUCAAAAGCAUCUGAAAAUGGUUUAGACAUAAGGACACGGUAAGGCCCUAUUUUAACAAGACAUGUUUUGGCUGUGGGAUUUUUGAAGACGAUUGCUCUUCUGUUGCUGUUCAGUUCUUCACGGCGUGUUUGGUUUAAAGAAAGAAUUUGAUGGAAACCCAGUAGUUCUAUCUCAACACUUACUAUUUAAAUUUU